rnacentral:rRNA from 1 species
GAGUUUGAUCCUGGCUCAGGACGAACGCUGGCGGCGUGCCUAACACAUGCAAGUCGAACGAGGUAUAUUUUUCGGAAUAUGCUUAGUGGCGGACGGGUGAGUAACGCGUGAACAAUCUGCCCUGUACAAAGGAAUAGCCUCGGGAAACCGGGAUUAAAACCAUAUAACACUUUAGUAUCGCAUGAUACAGAAGUCAAAUUGAAUAAGAGGUAUGGGAUGAGUUCGCGUCUGAUUAGCUAGUUGGUAAGGUAAGAGCUUACCAAGGCGACGAUCAGUAGCCGGCCUGAGAGGGUGAACGGCCACACUGGAACUGAGACACGGUCCAGACUCCUACGGGAGGCAGCAGUGGGGAAUAUUGCACAAUGGAGGAAACUCUGAUGCAGCGACGCCGCGUGAGUGAAGAAGGUCUUCGGAUCGUAAAACUCUGUCCUUGGUGAAGAUAAUGACGGUAGCCAAGGAGGAAGCCCCGGCUAACUACGUGCCAGCAGCCGCGGUAAUACGUAGGGGGCGAGCGUUGUCCGGAUUUACUGGGCGUAAAGGGUGGGUAGGCGGUUGUAUAUGUCAGGUGUAAAAGGCUAUGGCUUAACCAUGGUUAGCACUUGAAACUGUACAACUUGAGUGCAGGAGAGGUAAGUGGAAUUCCUAGUGUAGCGGUGAAAUGCGUAGAUAUUAGGAGGAACACCAGUGGCGAAGGCGACUUACUGGACUGUAACUGACGCUGAGUCACGAAAGCGUGGGUAGCAAACAGGAUUAGAUACCCUGGUAGUCCACGCUGUAAACGAUGAGUGCUAGGUGUUGGCCAGCGAUGGUCAGUGCCGCAGUAAACACAAUAAGCACUCCGCCUGGGGAGUACGGUCGCAAGACUGAAACUCAAAGGAAUUGACGGGGACCCGCACAAGCAGCGGAGCAUGUGGUUUAAUUCGAAGCAACGCGAAGAACCUUACCAAGGCUUGACAUCCCCUUGACAGGUGCAGAAAUGUGCCCUCUCCUUCGGGAGCAAGGGUGACAGGUGGUGCAUGGUUGUCGUCAGCUCGUGUCGUGAGAUGUUGGGUUAAGUCCCGCAACGAGCGCAACCCUUAUCCUUAGUUGCCAGCAAGUUAAGUUGGGCACUCUAAGGAGACUGCCGGUGAUAAACCGGAGGAAGGUGGGGAUGACGUCAAAUCAUCAUGCCCCUUAUGUCUUGGGCUACACACGUGCUACAAUGGUCGGUACAACGGGCAGCGAAAGAGCAAUCUGGAGCAAAUCCCAAUAAACCGAUCCCAGUUCGGAUUGUAGGCUGCAACUCGCCUACAUGAAGUCGGAGUUGCUAGUAAUCGCGAAUCAGAACGUCGCGGUGAAUGCGUUCCCGGGUCUGUACACAC